rnacentral:lncRNA from 1 species
GACGUCCGCUUCACAUCCUCCCUUUAUAUAUAUAUAUAUAUAUAUGUAUAUCAGGGCCCUUCCAAUGAGGGAUCCCCUUUUUUGUUCAUUUCUAGGGAUAGCAACUCACCAUUAGAUCUAUUUUUUAAUGAUCUUGGAUGGCUGAGAUUAAAUAAUAAAUUUAAUAGCAAAUCACAUAUACAUCCUCCAAAAGGAUUUGAAACACAAAUAAAUCCACUUGUGUUGUUGUUAAACAAAUAAGGACAGUUUUUAACAAUUAAAGACAAUCUUUUCUCUACAUUUCAUGUGUCAUGAUUUAAUUUACCAAACUAACCUUAUACUAAUUAAAUAUACUUUUAGAAGAGAAAAGUCUCUUAUUUUGAGAUUUUUCAGUAAAUGGAAUACAGUAGCAGAUUUUCAAUAAUUUAGUGUAGUAGCAGUUAAUUUCAGUAGAAGUAGUAGCAGGGGUAACAUCCUAGUAGAUUUAGUAGCAGGGGUUAACAUCCCAAUAGUAGUAGCAGUUAAUUCUAGUAGAAGUAGUAGCAUGGGUUAAUAUUCCAAUAGAAAAGUAGUAGCAGAGGUUAACAUCUCAGUAGAAGUAGUUGCAGGUUUUCAGUAGCUCAGCUAAUGUAGUAGCAUGUUUUGUUGGAAAGCUACACUUCUAACAGAUGUAGUAGCAGAGUUUUAGUGGUUCAGCUAGUGUACGUAGUAGCAGCUUCAGUAAGUGCAGUAGCAGCUUCAGUAAGUACAGUAGCAAGUUUUCAGUGGCUCAGCUAAUGUAGUAGCAUGUUUUGCUGGAAAGCUACACUUUCAACAGAUGUAGUAGCAGGGUUUUAGUUGUUUAGCUAGUGUAGUAGCAGCUUCAGUAAGUGCAAUAGCAUGUUUUCAGUGUCUCAGCUAAUGUAGUAGCAUAUUUUGCUGAAAAGCUAUACUUCCAACAGAUGUAAUAGCAGGGUUUUAAUGGUUCAGCUAAUGUAGUAGCAGCUUCAGUAAGUGCAGUAGCAGAUUUCAGUGGCUCAGCAAAUGUAGUAGCAGCUUCAAUAACAGCUUCAAUUAGUGCAGUAGCAGCAAAUGUAGUAGUAGUAGUUAUUUUCAGUACGUGCAGUAGCAGGUUUUGAGUACCACAACUGCAAUUGGAUGUCUUUUUUCUCAAGAAAAAGACUUUACUCUUAUUUGAGGAUUUUAAUAUAUCGGCAUAGUCUCCGUGAUGUUUAUUUAAGUCUCAUAAACAUAUUCAUUCUUUUUCUUUUUUUAAUUAUGCUUUCAGCAAAAAGAAGAAGUGCAGAGCAGUCAUGGUCUCGGCUACUACAGAGCACUCAUACUCGUAUUUUUUUGCUACUACACUUGUUGUACUCUUGUUUUAGUUCUGCCACUGCAUUCACGAUCCGCUGCAUUCAUGCUUUUCAAGAUUGAGUCUCAUCCAAUUCUACAGUUCUACGCAUUCAUCUAUCCAAUGCCAUCAUCCCACCCUUUUCUUUCUCUUCGCCAUUGAAAUACUAUCACNNNNNNNNNNNNNNNNNNNNACAUUCCCAAAUCAUUAAAACCUAAACCGAGCAUAAGCUCCCUGCCAAACCCAUGCCUCCAACAAAGAAAACAUUCCACUUCCUGGCAUCACUACCAAAGACAAAGCUAAACCAUUCCCCAUCUUUCAUUUUAGACUCACCGGAGAUCAAAGAACCAACCUUUCACCCGUAUCUUCUUGGUUCACCAGAUCUAUUUUCCAGAAAAUUCAUUUCAAUUUCUCAAAUUCUGCCAAAACUGAAAUAACAAAAAAAAAAAAUCAAUUACCUGCGACAGCAACUCGUCUAGCUGCUACUGUGAAAUUUCCGGCGACGCCAUAACCACCAAACGACGCCGUCUAAUCUCUAUUGAACGACAACAUAACCAGAUCUAAGGGCUGCAGAACUUUAGUCAAGCGUUGAGCGUUGGCCAAUCUUUAGUCGUCACCGUGGAGCGGCAUCUCAGGCAUCGAGCGUCCGCAGUCAUCAAGCCUUGAGCGCCUGGAUCGACCGUCAUCUUGCAUCGAUCAAUCCUCUUCGUCCAACAUCGAGAUCGGCUGUCAUAGUCGAGCAUUGGGAUCAUCACCGAGCGUUGGACUUCAUCAUCGUCAAUCGUCGAGCUUCAGGAUCAGGUGUCCUUCAAGGUGAUGACGUCGGCGUCGGCCACAUGUUGUUUUUUUGGAGACAGAGAUGAGUAGUGGCACCAAUCCGAUCAAUUGAAAUUGAGAGAGAGAGAGAGAGAGAGAGAGAGAGAGAGAGAGAGAGAGAGUAGUAGAGUNNNNNNNNNNNNNNNNNNNNNNNNNNNNNNNNNNNNNNNNNNNNNNNNNNNNNNNNNNNNNNNNNNNNNNNNNNGAGAGAGAGAGAGGGUUUUAGGAGAGAAUUAAUUAUGGUAAAUCAUGUAAUUUUGUUUAUAAACUGGAUAUUUUGGUCAUUUCACGAUGAAAAUUGCAGUCAACAUCUGGUAUCAUUGACUUUGGGCAUGAGCUUAUGUCCUUAUUUGUUUAAAUCUGUUGAAAUGUGGUUUUUCUGUUUUAUGCAACUGUUUAGGGUAGUGAGAUGUCAUUUUCUAUUUACUUUCUAACAAAUCUGAACCGUUUAACUUUAUUAAAAGUAAAUCAAAGUUUUGGACGACUUAACGAUCACCAAAUCUUCUAAAAACUUGUGGAAGUGAUCUACUCAUAUAGACCUACAAAUUGAACGGAGGACAUGUGAUUUUGUGAUCGGAAAGUUCGUCAAAUGAUAUAUCCCUAAGAACUUAAAAAAAAAAAUUCAGAAAACCCUGCUGGUGUCCGUGAGCACAAACGAAGUGUCAGCUGCUCAUAGUGCAUAUAGAUUUGAUGCUUGCAGUCCCUGUUUGUACCUGCAAGGUGAGCAUGGCCAAUAAUAAAUAAAUACACAACUAUUGAAAAAUGUGUUGAGAAAAACAACUUUUUUUCCUCACCGUAGCUGAACUUCAUAUUAUGUUAAACGCGGCCAGGUAGAUCAAAGAUAUCAGUACAUUAUCUAAGGAUUCAGCUUUAAUUCCAACUAGAUAUAUCUAAAAUCUAAAUAUAUAUAUUUAUAUAUAGAACAUAUGCUUAACAGAUUCAGUCAUAUCAGUACUUUAUGGAAUUAUGAUAAAAAAAUAGAUUCAGCUUUUAUUUUUGGUAGCAAAUAGAUCCAGCUUUUAGCUAGACUAUAUGAAUGGAAUAGAAAACCUUGACUCUACUCUUGUGCAUUAUUUUAGACAGAAUCUAUAAGCAUACGUAAGGACCCUAUAACGAUAUGACUGACGAUGUUUCAUUUCCAAAAAAAAAAAAAAAAGGAAACGAAGGCUUGGUUAGAAAGUACCAAAACUUUACUGUACGGAAGCUAAGAACCCACAAUGUUUAUGAAACUGAAGAAGAAAAAAAAAUCCACCUAGCUAAAUCAAGUUUACGAGGGAAGCUCGCCACAUCAAUGUCACCUCGCGAGCAACUCUACAGUAAUUACUAACAGAGUCCUCAUCUCGACAGAGGUUGAAUCAUAUUAUCUUAAAUCAUUUUCAUCAUGGUUCGUGCUCGAGUCUCUAAUGCAUUUCAGUGUCAAAGUACGUGGUUCGCCAUUACCUACAUCUCUUUCAAUGUUUCUCAGGGUUGUAUGAUAAGUUGGGCUUUUUCUCCAAUAUUGAUCCGCACUUUCAAAUCUAGCGUCUUUCAAGCACAAAGUAGGGUAUUCACUCGCUCUAGGACAUAAAAACGGCCAAAAGUAUUGUAACCUGAAUGAGAGACUCACAAAGGAUGCUCCCUUGCUGUAGUGAUUGGCUGCACUCCUCUCAACAGAGUUUUACCAGGUUUCUCUUCGUGGAGCUACUAAACAGUUACACACACCAGUAGUUAGUAUAAAAUAGCCGUUAAGUUUGAGUCGUAUUUGAUUAACCCUCCUUUUUAGCCUUUCAAAAUCCGGUGUCUUCUGUAUUUUGGAUAUCAAAUAAUGUGAACACUCAACUGAGCUAUUUACUCUACGAGCAAAAUUUAUGGUCUUCUCAGCUUACAGAUACUUUACCCUAUCAUAUUCAACCAACUUCAGCUUACUGAAUCCAGGACUUCCAUGUUAAUCAAUUUCCAUCUUAUGAACUGGCCUACAUCCACUUAUCUCCUCGACUUGAAAUAAUCUGCUUCCCAUGAGUUGUCAAACGUUAAACCGGAACAGCAUUACAUCUCCUUCUUGUACGAUGUAAUCUUUACCCUCAGAUCUUAACUGCAAAAACCAAAGUAGCCUAGAUGAAUGAGCAUGAUCUAGAAAGAUAUAUAUGGAAAAGAAAAACGUACAGUACUUGUUCACAUCUCUUUUGAUCAUAGAAAAACAGAUAGAUGCUACUUUAUGUGUAUUCCUUCUGUUCUGUAACAUUAGGUGACCCAAGGGGUGAGUGAUACUGUUGCUGAGUGUUGUCUAUGCAUUUAUUUUUUGUGGAGUAAGAAACGCCAACAUAAACCAGUGUCAGGCCUGCUUUGUAUAUCUCAACUUUCAGAAUCAAGAAAAGAACACUCCAAGCUAGGGAGAGAUAAAUUAUCAGUGAGGUUGACCUAUAAAUUAUGCGUGCUCUUCAAAAAACAGGAUGUCUGUGGUGCACAAUACUUUCCCCGAAACUUCAAAGGAAUGCUUACUUCCCAUCACUACAUAGAGUUAAUGGAGAAUGCAAAUGCAUAGAUCAAACAAGUAAAACAUCUCACCAAAAUUUGAAGUGCAGUAAUCUCAACAUGCUAACUCAAUAUCCCUAAUGCACUUUUAUCUACCAAUAGGAAUUUUGUUGUAUGUUUUCCAAGAAAAAAAAAAGGCAAUUGGUGCAUGAAACAAGAGCCAGUUUUUAUCUUAGAAGGUUUGGGCUCUUAUUUAAGAAGUUCACUCAUAUGACCAUUGGAUCCUUCUCCAAAAAAAGUCUCUCAUGUCUUUCACCUAACUUAAGCGUUGCCGAACCAGCCCAUAACGAGGCCUGAAAGUAUGACUUGCUCUAUGCCAAAGCAUAUCUUCUCCAACUAGUAACUUUCAGUAACUUCUAAAAUUAAAGGCCUGUCUCUGCUCAUUUGUACCGCAGAGCUACAUUCACAAAUAUGUUAAAUGAUCAUGUGGUAGUGCAACAGUAAAUCAAUAAUUCAGUAAUGCUGAUAAAAGCUUGGACAAAAUUGUGUGAGUAAAUAAAGUGAAUAUUAGACCAGCUGACUUACAACUCCUCUUUCCCUUGCUGCAGCAAGUGAACCAGCAGCAACAAAAUCAUCAUAAGACACCUGACAAUGAAAGGAACAAGAAAUUGUAAUUAGCUUUUCAUGUGCCAGGUCAAUCCUAUUGCAUGUACUGUUUUGCAUCUUAUGGGAAAACAAAGUAAAAUUGGCUACCCAUCAUUUGGUGCUCAACGAAUGAGUCUGCCAUAUUACCUGAUUUAUGCCGUCUUGAAUAUUGAUGAGCAUGGGAAGGACAACAUGUUUGUACUAAUUGACGAAAAGUUGUAAUAGCAGUAUAUACACGAAAUAAAAAAAUACAUAAAUAAAUAAAUAAAAAAUUCCAAUGAACACCAUAAUUGAUGUUAAAUGUCAAUGAGCUUUCAGUUUUACACAAGGUUUGAGGUUUAGCUGGUUUCCUGUGUAAAUCUUUCUUCUUCUCUGUCUCUUAAUUAACUUUUAUUUUUCACCAAACUUUUUAAAAACCGAAAAGUUGAAGACAUGCUUUGGAGAAAUCAACGCUUCCUGAUUCUCAGAUUUGGAUUGCUCAAUCAAAAUAUAUUCACUUUUGUGAUGCUCAUCAUAAUAUAAAGAUUAGUCUGGUGCAUAGUUAACCUGUUGUAUUUUUCUAAACAACAUAGGGAAGUUUCUGUGAAACUUACGGUCUCAGCUCGAAUGAAACCCUUCUCAAAGUCAGAGUGGAUGACCCCAGCUGCUUGAGGUGCAGUCAUUCCUGAAUCAACAAAGAAAAAAAAUCAGAGAUGAAUACAAUAUGAUUGCCUGUCAUACUUUUAACCUAUCUACGUCUAUUUGAUUGCAGAAAGGGGACUCUUUACAUCCAAAAUAAAACACAGAUGGCAAAGAAAAUUGAGAACACAACAUCUUUUGCCCACAACCAUCAGCCAAAUUUAUUAUUACAAGUUGUCAAGUGAUAUAAAGACUACGUCACUGUUUGAAGCAUUUUUCAGAUCCAAAGUAUAAAACUUCUGAAAUUUAGCAUAACCAAAGCUCACCUGCAAGUAUGGUCCAUGCUUUUGUUUCCUGUGUACAAACAUCAGACAAUCUUUUUAGCACAAAAAGAAUAAAUACAUCCCAAUUCAAUAGAUUUGACACACUCCAGUUUUUCACCUUCUCUCCUGAAGUGAAGUAAGUACGCAGCCCCAAAACACUGUAUGUUGUUCUGAUUAGGUUUCCAAGACCACUUUCACCAACACCAAGAGAUUCCAAAAAUUCUGUUCUUUCUUCAGAUGGUAAUUCAGUUAGUUCAGACUCGACCUGCAAAUGCAAAGUUCCUAGGUCACAUGGUAUGGUUAAAACAGCUAGUCUAAAUCCAGCCAAGAUUAAGUCCUAUCAAACAUUAGGCCCACAGAGACAGCCACAAAUAAAUAUUCUCGAGUUCGCACAAUAACACGUCUAGUGAUGUAGCACAAACCUGUGCUGAAAUUGUUACUACUCCACAUUGCAACUCAGAAGCAAGAUUCAUCAGUGCUUUGACAUGAGGAUUCUCUCCGGGUUCAGCUAGAUCAGAUUCAGCAACAUUAGCAACAUAGAUAACAGGUUUCAUUGUAAGCAAGCACAGAUGCUUUAUAGAUUCAUUUUCUGUAUCUGUUAAAGUGACUGAUCGUGCUGGUUUCCCAUCCAUGAGUGCCUGCUGAAUUCUCUCCAAGCCAGACCUUUCUGAUUCCUCCUGAAAUGAAAGCAAUAUUUUUGGUUAAAAAGUAUCAUAUGAAGCAGAAAAAAUGGAGGAACCAGGGGAGAUGAUCCCAUAAUUGUACACUGUACAGAAAGUUCUGAGCAUGGUACUAACUAUACCUUAAGUUUGGAUUGUGAAUCUUUUGUCUUGCUUUUCUUGAGCUUCUCCAUUCUUUUCUCAAUCUGCAUUUCUUGUGUAUAAGACAACUCAGUUCAAUCAGCUAAUCUCAUCUUACUAAGCUAUUACUAUAUGUUAAAAACAAAUCAGAGAGUAAAGGGUUUAUCUGGGCAAGGAACUUUCAAAUAGAGGAGCUAAAACAAAAAGGUGCUCCUGAGACAUCAAUAUCAAAUUUUGAUUUUAUCACCAACAUUUAUCCAGACAGCACUAAUCUAGGUGGUGAAAUCAAUCAAUGCUCCAAAGCCGAUAAAGAAUCAGGGUUGCAUCGUUAAUUAACAAACCUGGUCCAGAUCUGAGAAAAUCAGCUCUAAGUUGAUAACAUCAAUAUCAUCCUUCGGAUCAACUUUCCCAUUCACAUGAACAACAUCAUUAUCUUCAAAACAGCGAACAACCUUAACAAAAUCAAUGAAAGAAAUCAAUAACAUGGUUCUUCAGAUUUAGGAUAGAUUUUAAUUCUCACUGGCCCAUCACCUGACCAAACACAAAAAUCCUCAAACACCUAUCUAAAGAACAGAAGAUUCCAGCCAUACUCAACACAAUACAAACAAGGGCUAUGUUAGCAGAAGCUUUGAAUUGAGCAAGCAUGUUUUAACCAUGUAUGAAAAUCCAAUGAUAUUAAAGAAUUGCAAAAAGCCGUUAGAUGCCAACUGGGGAAGGCUUCAAAAAGAAAAGCAUCUUUCUUUUACUAAGCUCAGUCCAAGGUGGUUUGGCAUGCAACAAAGUAACCUUAUAUGAAAAUUUUGCAGUUACCACUGAGGAAGCAGAUGAGCCAAUCAGAGAAACAAGUUUGCGGAAUAAAUCUAAUUAGUAGCAAGUUCCUAAAAACUACACAUGCUAAAAAGGUUUCACCGUUGCUUAUGGCUUCGCAGCCAGUGUCAGGUCCUGCAUCAGUUUUAUUUAACCUGUGAACCAGAUAAGAUCCUAGGUAGUACUAAAUGGACCAGCGUGUCACCUCACUUGCUUUCCACCCCACAUUAGCACCCACUUAAGAAAAUGCCACAUCCAUGAUCAACAACAACACAAACUGAGAUCUCCCAUUUAAGAUAUAUUUGUUAAGGAACCUGAAGGCAAUGGCAUGUUACCCCAUAUCUGUCAAAUAAAAUAACUCACUGAUACUUAUAAGAACCAAAAAUUCAGAUUCUCCAGAAUCAUUCUAUUGUCCUUUGCCAUGAGUAUAAGAAGAAAAUAAAUUGGCACAAAAUAACGUAUCCUCAAGAGCAACUUACGUAUCCUUCUGUCUCUCUGUCUACCACACUCGCGCAUAUACAUGUCUUAAGCUAUAUAAUGACUCCAUUGCCAAAAAAAGAAGAAGGAAUUUCAUAGCAAGAAGCAAAGAUGGUAAUCACAAAUGAAUGGCACCAAGAAGUAAAUGACAGAAACCUGAAGUAUGGAGUCCACCUCGCGAAUAUUUGACAAAAAUUUAUUCCCCAACCCCUGCAAGAAAGAAUAAAAAAAAUUAGCUGAUGCUAAUUUUUUUCUAAAAGAGACUAACUAGGCUGAUUACAUUCUAACAUAGAUAACGCAUGACUCGAUAUAUAUAUAAAACCAAAAAGUGGGAAAUAGAUGACCAUGGAAUUUCACCUCUCCUUGACUGGCACCCUUAACAAGGCCAGCAAUAUCCACAAGCUCCAAAGAUGCCGGGACUACGCGCUGAGACUUGCUGAGAUCAGAAAGUACAUUCAGGCGCGGAUCCGGAACUGCAACAAUCCCUACAUUUGGCUCAAUCGUACAAAACGGAAAAUUGGCAGCUUGAGCCUUCCCAUUCUCAACCUAAAGUCAUAAUACCAUAUUCAGAUCAACUCUAUACUUCACUUACAGGAAUCACAUUAUGAAUUCCAUCCCACAUUAUGGUCCAUCAAAUAAACUGAAUAUAAAGCUCUUCUUUUUCUUUAGCUAAAAACUCGAAAAGGGUCCAUAACUAUGAUGCCCUGGAUUGAAAAGUAUCAAUCUUUCAAUCCCUAAAACCAGUUUAAACCUCAAUUUGGAAUCAAAAUAGAGACUUGAGUAAAGAGCUAAACAUAUCAAAUUCAAAACAGCAUUAAUAACGAAAUAGAGAGAGAGAGAGAGAGAGAGAGAGAGAGAGAGUGGGUUGGUGGUGCAUACGACGGCGUUGAAAAGCGUGGACUUUCCGACGUUGGGGAGGCCGACGAUGCCGGCUUUGAGGCUCAUGCUGAUCUUGGGUGAGGAGGAAGCAGAGAAGCGGCGGCCUCUGGUUAAACCGAAGACUCCCAUG